CCUACGGGUGGCAGCAGUGGGGAAUAUUGGACAAUGGGGGCAACCCUGAUCCAGCCAUGCCGCGUGUGUGAAGAAGGCCCUCGGGUUGUAAAGCACUUUCAGUGAGGAAGAACGCCUGGUGGUUAAUACCCAUCAGGAAAGACAUCACUCACAGAAGAAGCACCGGCUAACUCCGUGCCAGCAGCCGCGGUAAUACGGAGGGUGCGAGCGUUAAUCGGAAUUACUGGGCGUAAAGCGCGCGUAGGUGGCUUGAUAAGCCGGUUGUGAAAGCCCCGGGCUCAACCUGGGAACGGCAUCCGGAACUGUCAAGCUAGAGUGCAGGAGAGGAAGGUAGAAUUCCCGGUGUAGCGGUGAAAUGCGUAGAGAUCGGGAGGAAUACCAGUGACGAAGGCGGCCUUCUGGACUGACACUGACACUGAGGUGCGAAAGCGUGGGUAGCAAACAGGAUUAGAUACCCCUGUAGUC
rnacentral:rRNA from 1 species